rnacentral:misc_RNA from 1 species
CACCGGAGUUUCUCUGGCGCGAGAUUAUAUAUAUAACCCAAGUGCGUUUUGCCCUAUCACGCAUGGGAUAGGCUACGCAAGUAUUCUCAUAUAUUCAUACAUCAACUCCAUAGAGGCACAGACGCACAUUCCUACAGUCCCUCGAUACAAGGCCACCGUUGCACACCUUCGAGUGGGCAGAGACGCCGUCACGGAUGGUUUUCCCUCUUGGCCGCUCUCUUCCUUCUGCUGCGCUCCUCCGCUGUAUCACUCCAAAACAACAAUAAACACACGCACACGCUACAGGCUGCUCGACCACAGUUUUCCGCACCUGGCAAGGGAGAGGAGCACCUGGAUGCCACCGCCGUCGUCAUGAACUUCGAGGAUCCGUUUGCGAAUGACCUCAGUCGGGUUCGCAGCGCCGUAGCCAGUCUAGGGCGGCUCUCCUCGCCAUCCUCGCUAUCGGUCUCCGGCGGACUUGCUGGGGGCCCGAGAGGAAGCCCCAGCGCAGCUUCACCUGUGCUCUCGUCCGGUAUGAGCGCCGACAGCUCUGUCGGACUCGGUGCGACGCCCCUCAAAUCGGCGUUUCUCUCUAGCGGGGCGACGUCGGUGUGGGGACCCUCUCCGACUUCCGCCCCAGUAGCCGGGCGACGGGCUCGUGUAGAGCCCAACGCCACCGGCGCUUCUCUAGGGCCUCCUUCGGCGGGUGGAACCUCCGCCAGCUCCGCCAUUCAAGCUGCUUCUCCCAGCGGCGCCGAGGCACCGGCUGCCUCGGCGCUAUCGUGGCUGGAGGAGAUGGACUCGUCACCGCCACCAGCGGCAUCUGCAACAGUCACGCCAAGCCCAUUCAGUGCACCACCACCACCCCGGCCAGCAGGGCAGGCUCUUUCCUUGUCGUCAUCCAUUCCGCCCUUCCUCAUGACUGACGUGGUCCAGGAGCAGUCGCCAUCCUUUCUGGACUUUGCCUCUACCGGUGCUUCCUCUGCUGGCGGUCCGGUGCAUUCGCUGCGGCCAAGGGGUGCGCCUGCUGCAGCGGCGAGAUUGCCCACUAACACGGGUGGUGCCGCCGCCGACGCCGCCGAUGCCGCAGGCAUAGAGGAACGCAAGAAGAAAGAGAUUCGCGAUCUCUACGCCACCCUCGAUGCCCUGGACGUGGAGCAGGGGCGGCUGGAGGAGAGUGUUGGCGACCGCCAAGUGAGGGAGGAAACGGAGCUGUUGGCGCUAGAGACGAGUGUGCUGGUGAAGACGACCGAGCUCGAGGAGAAAGAGCAGGAGUUGGCGUCGAGGCGCGCAGAGCUGAAGCGGUACACGGUGGAACGGCUCGAAGCCCUCGCGAGUCGGUAUGCGAAGGAAAUGGAGGCACAGGCCGCGGAGGUGCGCAGCCUCGAUGGGGCGCGUUUGGAAAAGCAGUUGCAACACGUAUGUGACAUGAGGUCGGCCACCGAGCAGACGGUGCGCGAAUUGCGAGAGCGAGCCGCGCUCGUGCUCGAGAUGCAACCUUACAGUGAAGCUGGUGUGCGUCUUGCCCUUUUCUCUACCAACUCCAACGUUGCAGUGCCGCCGACAGGCGACGCAGACUCGCCCAGCCCUACAGCCGGCGCUGCCGGCGCCUCGUCAGCUGAGCCGUCCUCUACAGAACUAGGGAGCGCCUUGCAGCGGGCAGUGAUGGUACUGCGCGGCUACUGCGACAAGCGCCUGCGCCACACGCGCGAUAACCUUGUCGACUACGUGCACACCAGCACGCUUGAUGCGGCCCACUCGGUCCGGCGAGGGCGAGAGCAAGCGUGGAUGCAGGAUGCGGUGCAGCACAAGCAAGUCUUCAGCCGCUAUAUGGUGGAUAUGAUGCAGCGGUACAUGGCCUUUUACAAGGAGCGGGCGGCCGUCAAGCAGGACAACAUUGCAGCGCUGCAGGCGGAUGUGCGUCGGAUGGCUGCGCAGCUGCGCGGCCACGCCGCAGAGCGGCUGCAACAGCUGCUGAGAGAUGUGACGGCCAGGAUCACACUCUCCACGCAGCGCCACACGCAGGCAGCCGAGGAGGCGCGCGCGCUUCUGCAGAAAAAGGCGAACACCAUUGUGGAGGGCGACAUGGCGAUGGCGGACGCGCAGCACCGGGAGCUGGAGGGCCGCCUGCUUGCAGAGGCCAACGCACGCCGUCAACGUCACCACGCCGAGGAAGAAUCGCUGACGGAGCAGCUGCAGCGAUUGCGCCGCUCAGGCGAGGCGGCCAACCGAAACGCCUUUCAGGCAAUCCGUGAUGCCGCCAGCGCGACCAGCAGCCAGCACGCACAACCCCUCCGGGAGGAGGUUCUGGCGUUGAAGACGCGCUUGGUGGAGCGUCUACGCGGCGGUGCGUCAGGGGUGGCCGCCGCGUGUAGUGCAGCUCGCAUGCAUGCCGAAGAGCUUACGCGCGUUUUACGCAGCACCAUGGCGCAGGAGGCAGCGCGCCAGCAGGGUGCGUCCCUCCUGCGCCAGCAGUGCGACGAGCUGCGGCGUGGCUUGACGUCUCUAUGCACGGAGGCUGUGGAGCGACUACAGCAGACGCGCUGUGCACAGCACGCACACCAGGCCCGCAUCGACGCCUUGGCGAAGUCGUGGGAGGCGGCGCACCGUCAGAACCUUGCUGCGGCGUGCUCGCUGAUUCUUCCCGUGUCCAGCAGUACUCCUGGCACCGCGGACGCCCAGUAUGUGUCGGAAACCUACGCCGCACCACAGGAUGUCGUGUCCGCUGCCUUGCUUGAUGUCCUGCAGGACAAGCUGCGUGCCCGCGAUGACAAGCGACGCUCUCUGCUUGCAUCGCGGCGGCAGUGCACCGCUGCGUCUCUCUCCAGGCUGGAGGAGGUACGCGACGCGCAGGCGACGCUGCAGGACAGGUGUGCUGAGCUGUGGUCAGCGGCGCAGACGCAAGCGACCCAGCAGCGUAUCACCCAGGAGAUGGAGGUGGAGGUGGAGAAGGGGCUCAUCACGGUGGCGGCUGAGCAGCGAGUGGCCGAUCGGGACCGCCGUGUAAUGGCGCGGAGGUCUCGCCGCAUCGCAGAACUGACGUCCAGUCUGCGCCACGAGCCACCGCAGCAUCUUCUGUGCAGCUUGCUUUCCCCGCCACUGCAAGAGGUGGUGACGACCCAUCUGGCGCGCGCACACCCGCUGGGAACCGUUGACAUCAACGCCAUUCCCAAGGUGUCGAGCAGCAACAAUACCUUUACUGCCGUGCAUACCUCUAACAACGCAGCCACCACGGUCAAGAAGAGCUCCGCGGAAGUGUCUUCAUCGUCUUCGUCGUCUUCUCCGGCGUCAGGGGUGUUUCAAGUGAAACGCGGAGAGGAAGCGCCGGUGACACCCCAGAAGAUGUGUUGUACCCCCAACACUGCUGAACUCAGUUAUGCUACAGACACACAUCCGUGGUCCUCUGCACCGCUGAGAGCAGAGCAGCGACUUUUGCAUGCCGGCACUGGCGAGAGUAGUGACGUGUCGCCUGCCGCCCGAGGGUCACAACAAGGACGCCCACAGUCUGACAGCGUGCCUACGGCGCAUCACGGCAUGUGUAAUGAGGCUGCUGCGAAAGUGUUGACCUCCUCGCAAGGAGCGCAGCAGGUGGACACGACAAGGGUGUAUCGUCGCUCCGCGGACAUGACCGUCGAAGCUGAGGGCGAUGCUUACUCCCGUGACUUGGAUCCUCGCAACUCCGGAUCGCGGAGAGCCGCUGCAGACGAGAAGCAGCGCGGAGGAUCAUGGCCUCGCGAUGCAUCGCUUCCGCCUGUGUCGAGUACGUGGGCAGCGGACUCGGACACAACCCCGCCCGCUCGCACCUGCGCGACGAUUACAUCACCGGCUGUGCUUCCAGCGCAGCCGCAGCGGCAGCAGUCUCUGCAGGCCCUUCACACUCUACGUGAACCGACCGUCUCACAGCCGACAUGGUCCACGCUGGAGGAGUACCGAAGCAGCAGUGUUGACGUUCCCAACCGGGCCGCGGCAGGUACGUCCGCCACCUUCAACUUCACAGCGACCGGGAGCCUGGACGACUGGAGCGACUUUCUUGCCUUGCUGUCCUUCACCGACUCCCCGGCCUCUUCUAUCACCUCGUAGGGCACGACAAGUGGCAGCGACACGCACAUCCGCACAGCCACUAAAAGACAACCGCUUGUAAGGCUGCAGCAUACCUGCCUUCCUUGCCUUGCCUGCCUGUGCGUGCGUGUGUGUGGGCUGUAUCAGCUGCGCAUCUUCCUCUUUCGCUGCGAAUAG